UGGGGAAUAUUGCACAAUGGGGGAAACCCUGAUGCAGCGACGCCGCGUGAACGAAGAAGGUAUUCGUAUCGUAAAGUUCUGUCCUAUGGGAAGAUAAUGACAGUACCAUAGAAGAAAGCUCCGGCUAAAUACGUGCCAGCAGCCGCGGUAAUACGUAUGGAGCGAGCGUUGUCCGGAAUUAUUGGGCGUAAAGGGUACGCAGGCGGUUUAAUAAGUCGAAUGUUAAAGAUCGGGGCUCAACCCCGCAAAGCAUUGGAAACUGAUAAACUUGAGUAGUGGAGAGGAAAGUGGAAUUCCUAGUGUAGUGGUGAAAUACGUAGAUAUUAGGAGGAAUCCCAGUAGCGAAGGCGACUUUCUGGACACAAACUGACGCUGAGGUACGAAAGCGUGGGGAGCAAACGGG
rnacentral:rRNA from 1 species